rnacentral:lncRNA from 1 species
UUUUUGCUGGAUGAGAAUUUCAAAAUAUGAUACAACUUUCACAUGGAAUUAAUGACACAAUAUUAUUAUAAGAAUAUCCAUGGAAAAAUGGCUACAAUUUUGUUCAACCUUAAAGUUUGAAAAUCCUUCCAAGUUAUAUAUUUUUUUUCAAGGCUCAGUCACGGGUCUUUGAAAGCUCCAAUAUAAUCAUUGAUAGUUUGGUGUUGAUAAUUUUUACCUAAAAAAUUGUAGACCUUUUUAUAAGCAGGGUGUAAAAAUUAUGAAUCUCUCUAUCAAUACUCGGAGGUUGAAGUAUCUCGAAAAAGUCAUAAACCUUUCUAUAAGUAGAGGUUGAAGUUUGAAUCUUUCUAUUAAAUUUUAUUAAUGCCACGGGUCAUUGAAAGCUCAACUAUAAAAUUCGAUGUGACUGAGCCAUCUACCAAUAGGGUGAUUCACGGGUCUUUGAAGGCUCUACUAUAAAAUUCGAUAUGACCGAGUCAUCCACUUAUGAAAGGAAAGAUAGUCGACAACAAUUGUUCACAAGAAGCUAUUGUUUGGGAGUCAUAUUUUGCUAUCCAAUUGACCUUUAAUUUGUUUUUGUUGUUUUCUGGUAUGAAUCUUUACUUCAUUUACUUUGUU